AUUGAACCGCAUGGUUCAAUCAUAAAAGGUGGCUUUUAGCUACCACUUGCAGAUGGACCCGCGGCGCAUUAGCUAGUUGGUGAGGUAACGGCUCACCAAGGCGACGAUGCGUAGCCGACCUGAGAGGGUGAUCGGCCACACUGGGACUGAGACACGGCCCAGACUCCUACGGGAGGCAGCAGUAGGGAAUCUUCCGCAAUGGACGAAAGUCUGACGGAGCAACGCCGCGUGAGUGAUGAAGGUUUUCGGAUCGUAAAACUCUGUUGUUAGGGAAGAACAAGUACCGUUCGAAUAGGGCGGUACCUUGACGGUACCUAACCAGAAAGCCACGGCUAACUACGUGCCAGCAGCCGCGGUAAUACGUAGGUGGCAAGCGUUGUCCGGAAUUAUUGGGCGUAAAGCGCGCGCAGGCGGUUUCUUAAGUCUGAUGUGAAAGCCCCCGGCUCAACCGGGGAGGGUCAUUGGAAACUGGGGAACUUGAGUGCAGAAGAGGAGAGUGGAAUUCCACGUGUAGCGGUGAAAUGCGUAGAGAUGUGGAGGAACACCAGUGGCGAAGGCGACUCUCUGGUCUGUAACUGAC
rnacentral:rRNA from 1 species